rnacentral:rRNA from 1 species
AUGGCCGACGACGAGGUGGUCGUAGCGUCCGCGGAGGAGUCGCUGACCACUCCGCUGCUCGAGCCAGCGGCGAGCCCCGGCGACCCGUCGGUGGAGGUGAGUCUGUACCGGCGGGGCGCCGGCCCGGCCAAGGUCUUCCGAUCGGGCCUGAGGGGCCCUCGCCGCGACCGCCUCGACGUGCGCGGCAUCCAGGCAGAGCACGGGCUCCGCUCCCUCUUCGCCUUCAAGCCCGGGGUCUCCCGCCGCGGCCUCCGGAUCCGGCCCGACCCGGCGACCGGCCACUCCGCCGUGCCCUUCCGCGACGGCGCCGCCAUCGCCCUCGACGGCGAGCCCAAGGUGCAGGUGUCGUGGACCAAGCCUGCGUUGAUGAUCGUCGUCGGCCUGCUAGUGCCGGCGGUGUUGGCUGUGGUGGCUCUCAACGGGGUGCCGGAGUCGCUACUGUCGUCGAGCGUAGUCAACGCCCUCUUCUCGCCGUGGAUCCUCGCCAGCGCGGUCAUCGUCUUCGUCCGUCUCAGGAUGCGGCCACAAGCUCCUCCAUGGAGCCGAGCUACUGUAAUGUAA